rnacentral:snoRNA from 1 species
AAGACUAUUCUUUCAGGAAUCAUUUCUAUAGUUUCUGAAUUGAGAAAUGUGUUUCUAAAGUGUAUGGUCUUGCCAACCAUGAUGAUGAGAUGUAAUAUUCCCUUGUGAGCAUGAAGCUGAUGGAGAUUAAUGGUUUAUCUCAUACCUUCUCUAUCAUUGAUGAUUGUUCAUUGCUUCCUGGAAGGAGCAGUAAAAGAAGGAAUAUGUUCAGAGUGGU